rnacentral:rRNA from 1 species
UACGUAGGGGGCAAGCGUUGUCCGGAAUCAUUGGGCGUAAAGCGCGUGUAGGCGGUUCGGUAAGUCUGCUGUGAAAGUCCGGGGCUCAACCCUGGGAUGCCGGUGGAUACUGUCGGACUAGAGUACGGAAGAGGCGAGUGGAAUUCCCGGUGUAGCGGUGAAAUGCGCAGAUAUCAGGAGGAACACCGGUGGCGAAGGCGGCUAUCUGGACAGAAACUGACGCUGAGGCGCGAAAGCUAGGGGAGCAAACAGG